rnacentral:lncRNA from 1 species
UUAGAAGUAUCUACGGAUAGAAGGAACUUUUGCCCAUUUCUCUGAGCUGUAGGAGUUGUUGCUGGUUUCUCACCUAUAUUUCCCCUUUGAACACCUGAGCCAUUUAUCAUUUGUGAGCUGCCAUUACAACCAUACUCCAGGUGAUGUAUUGACAGCCAGGCCAUUGCAGGGGGAGAUGGAGGUCAGUCAUUCAAGCAGCCUGUCCUUGGCUUUCUCCCCACACAAGAAAGCACCAGCCAAUGGUGCUUUGGCUCGGUGUGAUGGAUGGACUGUUUCCCUUCCUGGGUCACCUGCUAUCCUAGUUUGGAUCUCUGCAGGUAGACUGUCUCUGAUCACAGCAGGGAGCUGGGGAAGGAUCUUUCCAGGACCUAGCAUAUGCACAAGGUGGGAUGAAGAAAGGCUUGUACAUGCUGUGCCCCCAAAUCCGGAGACAGAAAGGCCAAGGUUCAACGCUCUGAUCUUCCCUGAAUCAUUAAUUUCUCUGUACUUCAGGUUGCAUUUCUUGCAGCCUUCUUUCUUUCUUGCCUACCAACAUUUCACGUGGUUCAAGCCAAGGCUUUGCCAAAUUGCAGGAAUCAUCUUGGAUCAGAAUCCUAAAAUCUUACUGAGGCAGCACCUAAAUGGGGCACUGCUGAAGCUCUUUGAAAGUCAGACUUUCUUCUGGUAA